AUUGAACGCUGGCGGCAGGCCUAACACAUGCAAGUCGAACGAGUGGCGGACGGGUGAGUAAUGUAUGGGAAUCUUACUGAUGGAGGGGGAUAACUACUGGAAACGGUAGCUAAUACCGCAUACAAUAAGAUGUGCCCAGUUGGGAUUGGCUAGUGGGUGGGGUAACGGCUAACCAAGGCGACGAUCCCUAGCUGGUCUGAGAGGAUGACCAGCCACACUGGAACUGAGACACGGUCCAGACUCCUACGGGAGGCAGCAGUGGGGAAUAUUGCACAAUGGGCGCAAGCCUGAUGCAGCCAUGCCGCGUGUAUGAAGAAGGCCUUCGGGUUGUAAAGUACUUUCAGUGGGGAGGCGUUACCCACAGAAGAAGCACCGGCUAACUCCGUGCCAGCAGCCGCGGUAAUAC
rnacentral:rRNA from 1 species